AUGAACGCUGGCGGCGUGCCUAAUACAUGCAAGUCGAGCGAACGGACGAGAAGCUUGCUUCUCUGAUGUUAGCGGCGGACGGGUGAGUAACACGUGGAUAACCUACCUAUAAGACUGGGAUAACUUCGGGAAACCGGAGCUAAUACCGGAUGAUAUUUUGAACCGCGUGGUUCAAAAGUGAAAGACGGUCUUGCUGUCACUUAUAGAUGGAUCCGCGCUGCAUUAGCUAGUUGGUAAGGUAACGGCUUACCAAGGCAACGAUGCAUAGCCGACCUGAGAGGGUGAUCGGCCACACUGGAACUGAGACACGGUCCAGACCCCUACGGGAGGCAGCAGUAGGGAAUCUUCCGCAAUGGGCGAAAGCCUGACGGAGCAACGCCGCGUGAGUGAUGAAGGUCUUCGGAUCGUAAAACUCUGUUAUUAGGGAAGAACAUAUGUGUAAGUAACUGUGCACAUCUUGACGGUACCUAAUCAGAAAGCCACGGCUAACUACGUG
rnacentral:rRNA from 1 species